rnacentral:tRNA from 1 species
AGCUGCUAACUUAAUUUUUAGGGGUUUAAUUCCAUUAAUAUUUCUAUUUUAUUUAUAUAGUUUAAAUA